UAAUCUGUUUAGGGAAAAUCAUCAUAUCUUGUUGUGACAGAUCUACAUCUGACUGCUCAGAAUCACUGUUAUCUCAAGCCUAACUACAUCAAUAAUAUAAAUCAUAUCGGGUCUCAUCUAUUAGCUUAGAUUUUUGAAUUGAGA
rfam:Populus trichocarpa isolate Nisqually-1 chromosome 6, whole genome shotgun sequence.